GGAUUGUAAACUCCUGUCGUUAGGGACGAUAAUGACGGUACCUAACAAGAAAGCACCGGCUAACUACGUGCCAGCAGCCGCGGUAAAACGUAGGGUGCAAGCGUUGUCCGGAAUUACUGGGUGUAAAGGGAGCGCAGGCGGGAAGACAAGUUGGAAGUGAAAACCAUGGGCUCAACCCAUGAAUUGCUUUCAAAACUGUUUUUCUUGAGUAGUGCAGAGGUAGAUGGAAUUCCCGGUGUAGCGGUGGAAUGCGUAGAUAUCGGGAGGAACACCAGUGGCGAAGGCGGUCUACUGGGCACCAACUGACGCUGAGGCUCGAAAGCAUGGGUAGCAAACAGGAUUAGAUACCCUGGUAGUCCCAUGCCGUAAACGCAUGAUUACUAGGUGUUGGGGGAUUGACCCCCUCAGUGCCGCAGUUAACACAAUAAGUAAUCCACCUGGGGAGUA
rnacentral:rRNA from 1 species